rnacentral:lncRNA from 12 species
CCUGGAGACGCAGUGCCCCAAUUCAGAAGCACCAUGACAAUGGUGGUGAGCUUCUCGAGAGUGAAGAACAGGUCUUGCUCACCUUGGUAUACCCAGCAUUGGCUGACCAAAGAAUAAGGGUCUCCUGUCCCUCACUGAACCAGAAGCCAGAGCCUACUGACAUAGCUGGAAUCUACUCUACAAGGUGUGAAAGACAAAAUACACCAGUUUUCACAGGAACAUUCUACUUUCAAAUGGUGGGGGAAACCUGGACUCAAAAAGAAUCAAACUCCUCACGGUACCAUUAGUGGACAAGAGUCUGGAACACAGGAUCGGGAGUCAGCUGUAUCAAUUGGCCCUGCAGUCACCAGUGAGGAACGGAGCACAGUGUGUCAACACAGGGGUAUGGUUACUUGAGUGGAGUAAAAGAGAAUCUGAAGGAGAAACCCAAUCUAGGAGUCAAGGCCCCUGUCAAAGAAAAAAACGCACUGGACGAUGGAGCAGGUGAGUUUCUUCAGGCUGUUGCA